ACCCCGGGAGGGGAGUGAAAUAGAACCUGAAACCGCAUGCAUACAAACAGUAGGAGCCUCGUCAGAGGUGACUGCGUACCUUUUGCAUAAUGGGUCAGCGACUUACAUUCUGUGGCGAGCUUAACCGAAUAGGGGAGGCGCAGCGAAAGCGAGUUCGAAAUGAGCGUUCAGUCGCAGGGUGUAGACCCGAAACCAGAUGAGCUAUCCAUGGCCAGGUUGAAGGUGUGGUAACACACACUGGAGGACCGAACCGACUAGUGUUGCAAAAUUAGCGGAUGAGCUGUGGAUAGGGGUGAAAGGCCAAACAAAUCUGGAGAUAGCUGGUUCUCCCCGAAAACUAUUGAGGUAGUGCCUCGUGUGUCGCUCCAGGGGGUAGAGCACUGUUUUGGCUAGGGGGACAUGGAGUCUUACCAAACCAAGGCAAACUCCGAAUACCUGGAAGCGUGAGCACGGGAGACAGAGCACCGGGUGCUAACGUCCGGACUCAAAAGGGAAACAACCCAGACCGCCGGCUAAGGUCCCAAAUAACAGCUAAGUGGAAAACGAAGUGGAAAGGCCGUGACAACCAGGAAGUUGGCUUAGAAGCAGCCAUCCUUCAAAGAAAGCGUAAUAGCUCACUGGUCGAGUCCUUCUGCGCGGAAGAUGUAACGGGGCUAAGCUGUUAACCGAAGCCGCGGAUGCGCUGGUUAUCCAGUGCGUGGUAGGGGAGCGUUCUGUAAGUCUGCGAAGGCGGUUCGAGAGGACUGCUGGAGAUAUCAGAAGUGCGAAUGCUGACAUGAGUAACGUUAAAGCAGGUGAAAAGCCUGCUCGCCGUAAGCCCAAGGAUUCCUGCUCUACGUUCAUCGGAGCAGGGUGAGUCGGCUCCUAAGGUCAGGCCGAAAGGCGUAGCCGAUGGGAAUCAGGUUAAUAUUCCUGAACCUGCGUCAGAUGCGAUGGGGGGACGGAGCAUGGAAGAUCAUCCGGGUGUUGGAAGUCCCGGUUGUUGAGCGUAGGAGGUCUGCAGGCAAAUCCGCAGACGCAUCUCCAAGGCAAAGACACGUGCCGCCACGGCGGCGAAGUGAUCGGAAGUGCUUCCAAGAAAAGCCUCUAAGCUUCAGUCUGAUGCGGACCGUACCGCAAACCGACACUGGUGGGCGAGCUGAAUAUGCUCAGGCGCUUGAGAGAACUCGGGAGAAGGAACUCGGCAAAUUGACACCGUAACUUCGGAAGAAGGUGUGCCGUAGUACCGUGAGAGGAGAGACACCUUGAGCGGGAAACGGUCUCAGAGAAUAGGUGGCUGCGACUGUUUAUUAAAAACACAGCACUCUGCAAAGUCGAAAGACGACGUAUAGGGUGUGAUGCCUGCCCGGUGCUGGAAGAUUAAUUGAUGGGGUGAGAGCCCUUGAUCGAAGUCCCAGUAAACGGCGGCCGUAACUAUAACGGUCCUAAGGUAGCGAAAUUCCUUGUCGGGUAAGUUCCGACCUGCACGAAUGGCAUAACGAUGGCCACACUGUCUCCUCCCGAGACUCAGUGAAGUUGAAAUGUUUGUGAUGAUGCAAUCUACCCGCGGCUAGACGGAAAGACCCCAUGAACCUUUACUGCAGCUUUGCAUUGAACUGUGAACCGAUUUGUGUAGGAUAGGUGGGAGGCAGAGAAGAGGCCACGCCAGUGGCCUUGGAGCCGACCUUGAAAUACCACCCUGAUUUGUUUGCGGUUCUAACCACGGACAGUGAUCCUGUCUUGGGACCGUGCAUGGUAGGCAGUUUGACUGGGGCGGUCUCCUCC
rnacentral:rRNA from 1 species